rnacentral:rRNA from 1 species
AAAGACUCUCGGCAACGGAUAUCUAGGCUCUCGCAUCGAUGAAGAACGUAGUGAAAUGCGAUACUUGGUGUGAAUUGCAGAAUCCCGUGAACCAUCGAGUUUUUGAACGCAAGUUGCGCCCGAAGCCAUUAGGCUGAGGGCACGUCUGCCUGGGCGUCACGC